rnacentral:lncRNA from 1 species
GUACCCGUGAAUAGUGACUUUUUUUUUUUUGCCUAAUCAACUAGAAAGAAAAUUGAACAAGAAAACUGCUGCCUCAUAACAAUUUUUUUGUUUGUGCUGUUCCACAAGUUUUUGGGAAGAAGAUAGGAAGAAAGUUUUGGAUUGUGGAUGAAAAAUUACCCAAAUUUUGGCUCUGAUACCACUUUGAUGCAGGAUGAGGGAUGAUUCCUGCAGAAUAAUUAGAAAUAGCAAAAUAGCACAACUUGCAAGUAGAAUUCCAGUGAGAAGAAGAAGAAGGCAGCAAGAAGGGG